GCCAGGUGGUCUCAGCCAAGCCAGGGAGCAGCACCGAUGCACAGCCCGUGCAUCCUGAAUUCAUAAGCAGCGCAGAAACCCUGAGCCCAGAGGGACUGCCAAGAGGGUGCAGGGGGAAAACCUUUCCAAACCUGUCAUGUUAACGGGGCUGCAGGAGGGCGGGGUUUUUAAUUGGACCACUCCCUGUGCUUUGGAGUUUGGGCGGCAGAACCGCGUAAGGAGAAGCCGUCUGGGUGUCUCCCCUCCGCCAGGCAAGGCAGACAACCAGAGCCGAGCAGCACAGAGAUCUUUCUGCAGUGGGAGAAACAGAUGAGAAAACUCUACGAACACACAGACACCUCUGGAGGAGGAGGACAAGCAGUAGAAGGUUACACAUCUGGGUUGUGAAGGGAAUUGUGACUAAUCUUGAAAGUUACAAUGUACAGAAAGUUCCAGAAAUGUAGACCUUUUGUUCCUUCACAUUAAAUGUAACUUGGGCCCGGUCACGGUGGCUCAUGCCUAUAAUCCUAGUACUUUGAGAGGCCAAGGCGGGUGGAUCGCUUGAGCUCAGGGGUUCAAGACCAGCCUGGCUGACACAGUGUGAUCUUGUCUCUACGAAAAAUAAAACAAAAUCAGCCAGACAUAAUGACGUACGUCUGUAUUUCCAACUACUUGGGCAGUUGAGGUGAGAGGAUUGCUUAAGCACAGCAGGUCAAGGCUGCAGUGAGCCAUGAUUAUGCUGCUGUACUUCAGCCUGGGCGAUAGAGGUAGAC
rnacentral:lncRNA from 1 species